CCCCUCUCAGGUUCACACCUGGAGAGUUUCCAGUACUCUACCAGUCUCCGCUAGGGAAGGGAGAAUCAAGCAGAGUUAUAUCCAUUCCCUUCCUAGCUUGGGCAGUGGCUAGUAAGGGGAAGGCAAUCUGCUACAAGU